UGUAGCCCUGACCACUGUGGUCAGGUGGGCAUUUUCUCCUUCGCUAGUUACCUGGUGUCUCAGCGGGUCUCUGAGCCCAAUGGCUGAAGUCCAAGCUUGGGAUAGGAGUAUCCCCAGCGCUCCCAGGCUCUGGCCGAGCCCGCGGCCGACCAUUACACUACCAUCAACCCACCUGGCCAGAAGCGUGAAUCUAGAGCCCUACCACCUAGACUCAUUUCCCUGGUGCCGUCAAGAGUGCAAGAAAGGCAGCAACAGUCGACAAGUACGUUUACUCACAGCCCGGCCAAAUGAGAGGGCAGCUAGUCAGCCUCCCUUGAACACAGCGAAGCACUGCAGCUUACAGGGAGAGGGGAACUGAAGCCAGGAGCUUGCAUCCUUCAGGACAUACACAUUUAGCCGGGCUGAGGGCCGCCUGCAGGCCCAGAAAAAAGAUGGAAAUGUGGUUCUGUUGAAACUCUUGGCACCAGGACUGGGGGCAGCAGUUUCACUGUCAGCAUGAGAAAGCUGGGAAAAAUAGCUUAGCUUUAUAAUCCUAAUUAUAAAGCCCCCUUUCAACUCCUCAGUUUCCCUCCUUCUAGAAGACAGUGUGGGGUCGGGUGUCCAGCACUGGGACACCUGGGUCUUAGGGUAAACCUCCGUCUGCAUCUCCCAGUGUGAAACGGGCACAGGACACAGGAUAGGCGACUUUCUCUGCUACAAUCGCGGUGCUUGGAGUAGAUGACCGUGAGGGCCCCACAGACUUGAAGGUCUUUGUGCUGGUCUUGAUUCUUCAUGAAUGACCCAUAUGUUCUGAGGCUCUGGAGAAAGCUAUCUGUUCCCGGGAGGUACUGCUGAGCAGAGAGCUGUGGAGGAUUUGGGGAGGCAGAGGACAUGGAGUGUUGCAGAAUGUGAGAGAAUCCAGGACCACUGAUCCAGUGCCCAGCAAUAACCCUGCUUUUAUUAGACCCGUGGGAUCCUCAUGGAAAGUGGGGCAGGAGUCUGCUUGGGUGAGGAGGCGAAUCAGUUAACUAGAUACCCGAGAACCAGCAGAGGAAGAAAGAGAUGAGGGAGUUUUCCAAGGGGCUGAGUCCUUUUUUUUUUUUCUUUUUGCAAGAAACACCCCACACCCACAACUUAAAGGAGGAGAGGUUUAUCUUGGCUAGUGGUUCCAGUCCCUGGUCAGGCGGCUCCAGGGUAAGAAUGGGAAGUCAGGGAGGGGGUGGUGGAGGAAAUCUAUGGACAUCACGGUGAUCAGGAAGCAGAGAAAAGCGAGGAGCCAGGAAAAAGAUGCACCCUUGCAGGUCACACCCAAGUGACCAGCUUCUCACCAGACCCCACCUGCUGACAACAAAGCAACUGUGUUACCCACGACUCACUCACCUUCUAGAAGCCCUGCCCGUGAGUGCACGAGGCCUUGGGUGACAUCCUCGAUCUAAAGCACAACACCAAAGUCCUCAAGCUUCUUUGGAGUUUGCAGUAGCCCAAGUCCUGCUGCCUGAGGACACCCAAACAUGGCUGCUGCUGCCUUAUUUCAACCCUGCACAUAUCUGGCUUAUUAUGAAUCCCACUGCACUGCUGCUGAUGUUGAUUGCGUUUCUGAGAAGUAAAGUCAGACUCGGUCGUCUGACAUCGGCCUGAGGACCAAGGCCAAGGCACACGGACUGAGUGGGAGUGAUUGGAAACAGUGUUGACAUGCACACAAGAAGCUGGAAAUGUCAAUUGCAGCUUGAGGUAAACACGGAUUUUGCCAGAGAUGCUGGUUCCUUCUGGAGAAUGAGGUUCAAGACCAAGCUGUGAUGCUGUGGAAGUGUGCUGCUGCAGUGAGCCGUUGCUUCCAGACCCUAAGUUAAGGGAAUGCAGGAAUACAGAUGGAGCUAAAUCCUCAUGCAUAUGUUUACAAGUCUUGGAAUUCUUGGGGAGGAGAUCUUUGAAAGACAAUAUUAAUCUCUCUUACUAAAGGCUUUUAAUUCUCUUCAGAAUAAGUGGUGCUACAAUGUACAAGAUUUGGUGCUGAAGAUAAAACAAACAAGUAAGCAAAAAAACCUAAGACUGGAAACAAAACGUUUUGGAGACAGAAGUCUUAUGCCUGCUUCCUGGUCCUCCAGAGAGCUGCUCUUUGAAUAGAAGUUGCCAGCGAUGUUGCUAUUUUUUUUUUUUGUCUGAGGUCAUGUUUGACUUUUUUGUUUUUGGUGUUUUAUUAAAUCCCGCACUGUUAAACUGCC